UACGUAGGGUGCAAGCGUUGUCCGGAAUUAUUGGGCGUAAAGAGCUCGUAGGCGGUCUGUCGCGUCUGCUGUGAAAUCCCGGGGCUCAACUCCGGGCUUGCAGUGGAUACGGGCAGACUAGAGUUCGGUAGGGGAGAUCGGAAUUCCUGGUGUAACGGUGAAAUGCGCAGAUAUCAGGAGGAACACCGGUGGCGAAGGCGGAUCUCUGGGCCGAUACUGACGCUGAGGAGCGAAAGCGUGGGGAGCGAACAGG
rnacentral:rRNA from 1 species